rnacentral:rRNA from 1 species
AGUCAAGUAAUUAAGUGCAUGUGGUGGAUGCCUUGGCAGUCAGAGGCGAUGAAAGACGUGAUAGCCUGCGAAAAGCUCCGGGGAGGCGGCAAAUAUCCUUUGAUCCGGAGAUGUCUGAAUGGGGGAACCCACCUACUUUAAGGUAGGUAUUGCAACAUGAAUACAUAGUGUUGCAAGGCGAACGAGGGGAAGUGAAACAUCUCAGUACCCUUAGGAAAAGAAAUCAAUUGAGAUUCCCUCAGUAGCGGCGAGCGAACGGGGAUCAGCCCAUUAAGUUAUGUGUGUUUUAGUGGAACGCUCUGGGAAGUGCGAACGUAGAGGGUGAUAUUCCCGUACACGAAAGGGCACACAUAAUGAUGACGAGUAGGGCGAGGCACGUGAAACCUUGUCUGAAUAUGGGGGGACCAUCCUCCAAGGCUAAAUACUCCUGACUGACCGAUAGUGAACCAGUACCGUGAGGGAAAGGCGAAAAGAACCCCUGUGAGGGGAGUGAAAUAGAUCCUGAAACCGCAUGCAUACAAGCAGUGGGAGCACCUUCGUGGUGUGACUGCGUACCUUUUGUAUAAUGGGUCAGCGACUUAUAUUCAGUAGCGAGGUUAACCGUAUAGGGGAGCCGUAGAGAAAUCGAGUCUUAAUAGGGCGUUUAGUUGCUGGGUAUAGACCCGAAACCAGGCGAUCUAUCCAUGAGCAGGUUGAAGGUUGGGUAACACUAACUGGAGGACCGAACCCACUGUCGUUGAAAAGCCAGGGGAUGACUUGUGGAUAGGGGUGAAAGGCUAAUCAAGCCUGGUGAUAGCUGGUUCUCCCCGAAAGCUAUUUAGGUAGCGCCUCGGACGAAUACCAUAGGGGGUAGAGCACUGUUUCGGCUAGGGGGUCAUCCCGACUUACCAAACCGAUGCAAACUCCGAAUACCUAUGAGUACUAUCCGGGAGACAGACUGCGGGUGCUAACGUCCGUAGUCAAGAGGAAAACAAUCCAGACCGCCAGCUAAGGCCCCAAAAUCAUAGUUAAGUGGGAAACGAUGUGGGAAGGCAUAGACAGCUAGGAGGUUGGCUUAGAAGCAGCCACCCUUUAAAGAAAGCGUAAUAGCUCACUAGUCGAGUCGGCCUGCGCGGAAGAUGUAACGGGGCUAAAACUAUGUGCCGAAGCUGCGGAUNNAUGCUGGAGGUAUCAGAAGUGCGAAUGCUGACGUGAGUAACGACAAAACGGGUGAAAAACCCGUUCGCCGAAAGACCAAGGGUUCCAGUCCAACGUUAAUCGGGGCUGGGUGAGUCGACCCCUAAGGCGAGGCCGAAAGGCGUAGUCGAUGGGAAAAUGGUUAAUAUUCCAUUACUUCUGUGUAAUGCGAUGAGAGGACGGAGAAGGCUAAAUCAGCCUGGCGUUGGUUGUCCAGGUGAAAGGAUGUAGGCAUGUAUCUUAGGCAAAUCCGGGGUACUCUAUGCUGAGAUCUGAUAGCAAGCUGUACUUGUACAGCGAAGUGGUUGAUGCCAUGCUUCCAGGAAAAGUCUCUAAGCUUCAGUUACACAGGAAUCGUACCCGAAACCGACACAGGUGGUCAGGUCGAGUAGACCAAGGCGCUUGAGAGAACUCUGCUGAAGGAACUAGGCAAAAUGGUACCGUAACUUCGGGAGAAGGUACGCUGUUGUUGGUGAUGGAACUCGCUUCCUGAGCUGACGACAGCCGCAGAAACCAGGCCGCUGCAACUGUUUAUUAAAAACAUAGCACUCUGCAAACACGAAAGUGGACGUAUAGGGUGUGAUGCCUGCCCGGUGCUGGAAGGUUAAUUGAUGGGGUUAGCGUAAGCGAAGCUCUUGAUCGAAGCCCCAGUAAACGGCGGCCGUAACUAUAACGGUCCUAAGGUAGCGAAAUUCCUUGUCGGGUAAGUUCCGACCUGCACGAAUGGCAUAAUGAUGGCGGCGCUGUCUCCAGCAGAGGCUCAGUGAAAUCGAAAUCGCUGUGAAGAUGCAGUGUACCCGCGGCUAGACGGAAAGACCCCGUGAACCUUUACUGCAGCUUGACACUGAACUUUGACCUUACUUGUGUAGGAUAGGUGGGAGGCUUUGAAGCUGGAACGCUAGUUCCAGUGGAGCCGUCCUUGAAAUACCACCCUGGUAAUGUUGAGGUUCUAACUCUGUCCCGUGAUCCGGGACGAGGACCGUGUCUGGUGGGUAGUUUGACUGGGGCGGUCUCCUCCUAAAGAGUAACGGAGGAGUACGAAGGUGCGCUCAGCGUGGUCGGAAAUCACGCGUAGAGUAUAAAGGCAAAAGCGCGCUUAACUGCGAGACCCACAAGUCGAGCAGGUACGAAAGUAGGUCUUAGUGAUCCGGUGGUUCUGUAUGGAAGGGCCAUCGCUCAACGGAUAAAAGGUACUCUGGGGAUAACAGGCUGAUACCGCCCAAGAGUUCAUAUCGACGGCGGUGUUUGGCACCUCGAUGUCGGCUCAUCUCAUCCUGGGGCUGAAGCAGGUCCCAAGGGUAUGGCUGUUCGCCAUUUAAAGAGGUACGCGAGCUGGGUUUAGAACGUCGUGAGACAGUUCGGUCCCUAUCUACCGUGGGCGCUGGAAAUUUGAGAGGAUCUGCUCCUAGUACGAGAGGACCAGAGUGGACGAACCUCUGGUGUACCGGUUGUGACGCCAGUCGCAUCGCCGGGUAGCUAUGUUCGGAAGGGAUAACCGCUGAAAGCAUCUAAGCGGGAAGCCUACCUCAAGAUAAGAUUUCCCUAGGACUUUAUGUCCUCUAAAGAGCCGUUCGAGACUAGGACGUUGAUAGGUUGGAUGUGGAAGCAUAGUGAUAUGUGAAGCUGACCAAUACUAAUUGCUCGUGAGGCUUGACUAU